rnacentral:misc_RNA from 1 species
UGAUGCCAUUUUCAAAUAAUGUGUAUAACCGUCCGAAUUAUUGGACAUCACUUUCUAAUAUCACUUUCCAACAAAAUGCCGACAUAUCCGUGUUGCUUUUGUUCCAAUGAAGUUCGACCCAGACAACAUGCAUUACGCUGCGACGUUUGUUCACGAUGGCAACACCGCACCUGUAAUACUGGAAUCACUCAAGAGGAUUACCGGCAGAUGGUAAGGGUUGACACAGAAAUUGAUUGGACCUGUGCACAGUGCACAGUUAUCAACCAAACAGAUGCAGAUGAUGAGGGAAAUUCUUUCAAUGUGACGGCUGACUUCGACAUCCCUCAGCGUAUAGAGGAAAGGUCCAUUGUGGAGGAACCCCCCCAGGAGCAGGCCGCCACAGCUGAUGAUGAACCACACUAUCAAAUUCUUGAUGCGGUUUCUCAACGACGGAAACGAAAAUUAGUCAACAACGGUUACUCGUAUACCGUUAAGAGACAACGUGGCGAUGGUACAACGUGGUGUUGUUCCGUGAGGAACAGCAAGAUGACGUGCUCAGCCACUGUUCAGCAGACCGGCGACACCUUCGUCAACGGAACCAGGGCACACGUCCACGGACCGGAGGGCGGCAUCCAGACAACGCUUGCCGUCAAAGCGAAGAUCAAGGAAACUGCUAAAACUGACGUUUUCCAGCCGGCGAGUGCCAUUGUUGAGGGUGUCAUUAUUGACGAUGUGGAGGGCUGGCAUCACAGACUGAACCAUCGUGCCCUCGGAACAGCCCCUCCCUUUUACAAGCUGAUCCCAAUGCUGCACGAGGCCAGGCUGAUUCCGCUGAUGUGUCGGAGAGGAAGACGCGACCGCGACAGAGGAAGAUGCGACAGAGGAAGACGCGACGGCGACAGAGGAAGGCCUUUGUAGAUGUACAGGGCAAAAUCUUUCAACUGUGGGGACGCAAGCAGACCACUUCUGUAACAGUAUUGGCAUUCUUCAGCAAUGUGCGCAGCCUAGCCCGCUCACAGAGUUUGAGAAACCAGCUGGAAAGGUGCCAGCUCCACCACAAGAAGAUUAUGCCGUUCUCUUCUC